UGAGGAAUUUUGGACAAUGGGGGCAACCCUGAUCCAGCGACGCCGCGUGGAGGACGAAGGUCUUCGGAUUGUAAACUCCUUUUAUCCAUGAAUAAAAAAUCCACAGAAAUAUAGAGAUUGAAUGUAAUGGAUGAAUAAGCCACGGCUAACUUCGUGCCAGCAGCCGCGGUAAUACGAAGGUGGCAAGCGUUACUCGGAAUUACUAGGCGUAAAGGGCAGGUAGGUGGUUCGGUAAGUCUGUUGUGAAAUCUCCCGGCUUAACUGGGAGAGGUCAACAGAAACUGCCGGGCUGGAGUAUAGGAGAGGGUACUGGAAUUCCCGGUGUAGCGGUGAAAUGCGCAGAGAUCGGGAGGAACACCAAUGGCGAAAGCAGGUACCUGGACUAUUACUGACACUCAACUGCGAAAGCUAGGGGAGCAAACAGGAUUAGAUACCCCCGUAGUCC
rnacentral:rRNA from 1 species